UUUACCAGUGAUGAGUUCAAUACCUCCCUAGUCUGAUCACUAUGACUGAAAGGUAUUUUCUGGGCUGUG